rnacentral:lncRNA from 1 species
AAUUACCCAACUUUAACUAGUUUUUAUUUACCCAGUUGACAAAAAAUAAAAUUUACAAUUUAAAUUGAAGUAUCUGACCAAAACAUCAUAAUUAAUUUAUAAUUACCCAUUGAAAAAAUGAAAGCUCACAAUUUAAAUUUAAGGAAAUGACAAGAAUCGUUCAAUAGGUCAGACUAUUGAUAUGUAAAUAACUAAAUAUUCUUUUGUGAUGAUCAAUAAAUUUAACAUUUCAUAAAAAAAAAUAACUAAAUAUAUAUCCACAAGAAAAGAAAAAAAGAAGAAGAAG